CUUGUCUGUCUGCAAACCUUGGCUGUUUUAUCGAAGUGCUCUAAAAUAAAUUUUUGACUGGGGGAGAAGGAACACUCCAUGCACCUUAAUCAUGACAGUGUACGGCCGACGAUGGUUAUAAUGCCUCGAGAGCCCUAUUGUCCUCUAGGUAAGUGUCAAACCACCUCCACUGUACUGACAUUUGCGUCCGUCCCUCCUCGGAUGAUGUCCUAGAAGGCAGAGUGGCCGACCCAACGUCAAGGGACACCGGAGCUGCCAUAGG